rnacentral:rRNA from 1 species
AAUGAACGCUGGCGGCAUGCCUAAUACAUGCAAGUCGAGCGAACGGACGGGAAGCUUUCUUCCCUGGUUUUGUCGGCGGACGGGAGAUUAACACGUGGAUAACCUAACUAUAAGACAUUGAUAACUUCGGGAGACCGUAGCUAAUACCGAAAAAUAUUUUGAACCGCAUUGUUCAAGAGUUAGAGACGGUCUUUCGGUGGCUUAUAGAUGACUCCGCGUUGCAUUAACUAGUGGGUAAGGUAACUGCUUACCAAGGCUACGAGGCAUAGCCGACCCGAGAGGGUGAACGGCUACACUGGCACUGAGACACGGCCCAGACUCUUACGGGAGGCAGCAGUAGGGAAUCUUACGCGAUGGGGGAAAGCCUGAUGGUGCAACGCCGCGUGAGUGAUGAAGGUCUACUGACGGUAAAACUCUGUUAGUCGGGAAGAUCAUAUGUGUAAUUACCUGUGCACAUCUUGACGGUACCUAAACAGAAAGCCACGGCUAACUACGUG